UACGGAGGGGGCGAGCGUUAUUCGGAAUCAUUGGGCGUAAAGGGCGUGUAGGCGGCUUCGUAUGUCCCAUGUGAAAGCCCUCGGCUCAACCGGGGAACGGCAUGGGAAACUGCGGAGCUUGAGUCCGGGAGAGGAGAGCGGAAUUCCCAGUGUAGCGGUGAAAUGCGUAGAUAUUGGGAGGAACACCAGUGGCGAAGGCGGCUCUCUGGACCGGCACUGACGCUGAGACGCGAAAGCCAGGGGAGCAAACGGG
rnacentral:rRNA from 1 species